rnacentral:ncRNA from 1 species
GGAAUGGGCUGCGGGUAUCCCUGAUUGCUGUCUCUGAGGGUCACAAAUCUGUGCUCAGCGGAUUUUGUGUCCUCUGAAUACGCGUCAGGGAUUGAGAUCAUACCGCUCGAACCUGAACAGCGCUCAUACCUGCGUAGGGAAGCCCCCAGUAUCACUC